UUGGCAUGAAUGGAACAAGCUGCAAAUGAAUAUGUGUGAUAAAGAAGAAGUUUAAGUAUAUUCUUUCCUGGAGGCAUUUGGGCUGCCAAAUAUACCAUGAGGAACUAAAGGGACAGAAGCAUGUCUUGGACCUGAGCCCGUCCUGCUGUAGCUGCUUGUGCCAUGACAAAGGGGACACCUUGCACCAAAAGCAAAGAGAAGAUUCGGUACCUGUCUUAAGAGAUCUGCAACUUGAAAAGUUGUCCAGCUCUCAAACUCGUCCUGAGAUGGCAGUUUUGUGGCCAUGUCGCUAUCCUGGGAGAAAGGCUUGAUCUGUAAUCUUGUGGGGGAAGUUAGUACUUGCUGCUCUUUGAAGUUACCAGCUCAAUUCUGAAAWCUUUGCAAGAGAAUGGAACACUUGGCUGGACUGACACAGCACAAAGGMGGUGAAAUCACAUCACUGUUAACAAAUGUUUCUCAGCACGUUUUGAGAAGAUGAACUGGUGUGACAAAGAAGUGAAGAGGAU